GAUGAACGCUGGCGGCGUGCCUAAUACAUGCAAGUCGAGCGAACGGACGAGAAGCUUGCUUCUCUGAUGUUAGCGGCAGACGGGUGAGUAACACGUGGAUAACCUACCUAUAAGACUGGGAUAACUUCGGGAAACCGGAGCUAAUACCGGAUAAUAUUUUGAACCGCAUGGUUCAAAAGUGAAAGACGGUCUUGCUGUCACUUAUAGAUGGAUCCGCGCUGCAUUAGCUAGUUGGUAAGGUAACGGCUUACCAAGGCAACGAUGCAUAGCCGACCUGAGAGGGUGAUCGGCCACACUGGAACUGAGACACGGUCCAGACUCCUACGGGAGGCAGCAGUAGGGAAUCUUCCGUAAUGGGCGAAAGCCUGACGGAGCAACGCCGCGUGAGUGAUGAAGGUCUUCGGAUCGUAAAACUCUGUUAUUAGGGAAGAACAUAUGUGUAAGUAACUGUGCACAUCUUGACGGUACCUAAUCAGAAAGCCACGGCUAACUACGUG
rnacentral:rRNA from 1 species